UCAGAACGAACGCUGGCGGCGUGCCUAACACAUGCAAGUCGAACGAGAAAGCCCGGCUUCGGUUGGGCGAGUAAAGUGGCGCACGGGUGAGUAACGCGUAGGCAACCUGCCCCCUUGUCCGGGAUAACAGUGCGAAAGCGCUGCUAAUACCGGAUGUGGCCAAGAGGCGGUGGCUCCUUGGCUAAAGUCGGCCUCUCGAAGAAGCUGACGCACGGGGAUGGGCCUGCGUCCUAUCAGCUAGUUGGCAGGGUAACGGCCUACCAAGGCUACGACGGGUAGCUGGUCUGAGAGGAUGAUCAGCCACACUGGCACUGAAACACGGGCCAGACUCCUACGGGAGGCAGCAGUGAGGAAUUUUGCGCAAUGGCCGCAAGGCUGACGCAGCAACGCCGCGUGGGUGACGAAGGCCUUCGGGUCGUAAAGCCCUGUCGGGUGGGAAGAAGGGCCGGGGAGCCAAUAGUUUUCCGGUUUGACGGUACCACCGAAGGAAGCACCGGCUAACUCCGUGCCAGCAGCCGCGGUAAUACGGAGGGUGCAAGCGUUAUUCGGAUUACUGGGCGUAAGCGCGUGCAG
rnacentral:rRNA from 1 species